rnacentral:rRNA from 1 species
GAACGCUGGCGGAAUGCUUUACACAUGCAAGUCGAACGGCAGCACGGACUUCGGUCUGGUGGCGAGUGGCGAACGGGUGAGUAAUAUAUCGGAACGUGCCCAGUCGUGGGGGAUAACGUAGUGAAAAUUACGCUAAUACCGCAUACGAUCUAUGGAUGAAAGCGGGGGAUCGCAAGACCUCGCGCGAUUGGAGCGGCCGAUAUCAGAUUAGGUAGUUGGUGAGGUAAAGGCUCACCAAGCCCGCGAUCUGUAGCUGGUCUGAGAGGACGACCAGCCACACUGGAACUGAGACACGGUCCAGACUCCUACGGGAGGCAGCAGUGGGGAAUUUUGGACAAUGGACAAAAGUCUGAUCCAGCCAUUCCGCGUGCAAGAUGAAGGC